rnacentral:rRNA from 1 species
CCUACGGGCGGCAGCAGUGGGGAAUAUUGGACAAUGGGGGGAACCCUGAUCCAGCCAUGCCGCGUGUGUGAAGAAGGCCCUCGGGUUGUAAAGCACUUUCAGUGAGGAAGAACGCCUGUUGGUUAAUACCCAUCAGGAAAGACAUCACUCACAGAAGAAGCACCGGCUAACUCCGUGCCAGCAGCCGCGGUAAUACGGAGGGUGCGAGCGUUAAUCGGAAUUACUGGGCGUAAAGCGCGCGUAGGUGGCUUGAUAAGCCGGUUGUGAAAGCCCCGGGCUCAACCUGGGAACGGCAUCCGGAACUGUCAAGCUAGAGUGCAGGAGAGGAAGGUAGAAUUCCCGGUGUAGCGGUGAAAUGCGUAGAGAUCGGGAGGAAUACCAGUGGCGAAGGCGGCCUUCUGGACUGACACUGACACUGAGGUGCGAAAGCGUGGGUAGCAAACAGGAUUAGAUACCCGAGUAGUC